GACCUUUACACUGCACGACAGUGCGAUAGGGGGAUUCCGAGUGCGAGGGCAUACAGUCCUCGCUUUUUUGGAUCGUAAGGAGAUGCAAGAAUAAGGGCUGGGCAAGACCGGUGCCAGCCGCCGCGGUAAUACCGGCAGCCCGAGUGAUGGCCGAUAUUAUUGGGCCUAAAGCGUUCGUAGCCGGCCAGUCAAGUCUGUUGGGAAAUCCACGCGCUCAACGCGUGGGCGUCCAGCGGAAACUGACUGGCUUGGGGCCGGAGGACUCGAGGGGUACGUCCGGGGUAGGAGUGAAAUCCCGUAAUCCUGGACGGACCACCGGUGGCGAAAGCGCCUCGAGAGGACGGACCCGACGGUGAGGAACGAAAG
rnacentral:rRNA from 1 species